AUGUUGCACUACUUUUGCAAAAGCUUUUUCUGUGAUAACUCAUCUGAUGUUGAUCUUGAUGAUUUUGUCUCUGAGUUGAAAGUGUUGCAGGAAACUUUGCCAGAUGGUUUGAUGUCAGAGCUUGAGAUUCUUCAAUUUGUUAUGGAUGUAGAUUGCUAUCCAAAUGUCUCUCUUGCCUAUCGGAUCCUCUCAACCGUGCAUGUGUCUAUAGCCUCAGCUGAAAGAAGUUUCUCUAAACUGAAACUAUUGGAAAAUUAUUUGAGGUCAACUAUGUUGCAAGAUAGAUUGAAUGACUUGGCUAUGUGCUGCAUUGAGAAGGAUAUCUUGGAUAAUGUUGGUCUUCAUUGUGCCCUUAAUGACUUUGCAUCAAGAAACGCCCGAAGAAACUUUUUUUGA
rnacentral:rRNA from 1 species